CGCAUAGUAAUUCAGUUGGUAGAAUAUUUGUCUUAAGAACAAAACGCCGCAGGUUCAACUCCUGCCGUUGCAA
rnacentral:tRNA from 1 species